UGGGGAAUUUUGGACAAUGGGCGAAAGCCUGAUCCAGCAAUGCCGCGUGUGUGAAGAAGGCCUUCGGGUUGUAAAGCACUUUUGUCCGGAAAGAAAUCCUUGGCUCUAAUACAGUCGGGGGAUGACGGUACCGGAAGAAUAAGCACCGGCUAACUACGUGCCAGCAGCCGCGGUAAUACGUAGGGUGCAAGCGUUAAUCGGAAUUACUGGGCGUAAAGCGUGCGCAGGCGGUUUGCUAAGACCGAUGUGAAAUCCCCGGGCUCAACCUGGGAACUGCAUUGGUGACUGGCAGGCUAGAGUAUGGCAGAGGGGGGUAGAAUUCCACGUGUAGCAGUGAAAUGCGUAGAGAUGUGGAGGAAUACCGAUGGCGAAGGCAGCCCCCUGGGCCAAUACUGACGCUCAUGCACGAAAGCGUGGGGAGCAAACAGGAUUAGAUACCCUGGUAGUCCACGCCCUAAACGAUGUCAACUAGUUGUUGGGGAUUCAUUUCCUUAGUAACGUAGCUAACGCGUGAAGUUGACCGCCUGGGGGAUACGGUCGCAAGAUUAAAACUUAAAUGAAUUGACGGGGUCAUAG
rnacentral:rRNA from 1 species